rnacentral:misc_RNA from 1 species
GAUGAAGAACGCAGCGAAAUGCGAUACUUGGUGUGAAUUGCAGAAUCCCGUGAACCAUCGAGUCUUUGAACGCAAGUUGCGCCCGAAGCCACUAGGCCGAGGGCACGCCUGCCUGGGCGUCACACGCCGUUGCCCCCCCAUCUACUCCUUCGGGAUUGCGGGGGGGCGGAUGAUGGCCUCCCGUGCGCCUAGCCGCGCGGUUGGCAUAAAUACCAAGUCCUCGGCGACGCACGCCACGACAAGCGGUGGUUGCGAAACCUCGGUUGCCCGUCGUGUGCGUUCGUCGCGCAUCGAGGGCUCGAAAAAAUGCUCGGCUCCGGCUGGGCUUUCAACGCGACCCCAGGUCAGGCGGGGUUACCCGCUGAAUUUAAGCAUAUCAAUAAGCGGAGGA